UUUUCUUGUUUAAAAUUUAUUUUAUAUUUAUUUUAUUGUUUUGAUAUAUUGAUAUUAAAAAUUAAAAAGAUAUAUUAUUUUAAGUGCGAGUGUGUGUCGUGAGGUAUUGUGGUAACUUUUGUGGUUGUGUUUAGAAAAAAAUUGUUUUGUAAGAAAAACUUUUAGUUGAGGUUGGUUUGGUAAAAUAUAUGUUUGGUUAAAACUGUGAUUGAAAUUGAAGUUGAACAAAAGGUAAUUGAAAGUGUUUGGUUAAGAAUGUUUUUCAAAUUGAGGUUAUAAAAUAAUUAAAAAAAACAUAUAUUAAUAUUGAUGGUUUUUAAUUGAAAUAUUGUAGAUUCAACUACUGCUAUUACAUCAUGAAAUAAACAAUACUUUAUAUAAGGUAUUUUUUAUUGUUUCAUUAAACUAUCUGCAAUUUCAUCACGUACGAAAUCCAUCCGACAAAGACUAUAGUUUCCAUGGCUUCCUGAGCGUGCAACAACAUCAGGUAAAAUAUCAUUAGGAAUAAAAUUAGGAUUGCAAUCAAAUUCUGCAAAUGCUAUGUUAUUAUGCGAUCUCCUUCUAAUGUAAUUAUGUAGUGCCAUUGAAUAAUGUUAAACACUAGUUUAUCGAAUAAAACACAAUAUCUAAGAUUUUUUUUGGAUUUUUUAAUUUUAUUUUAUUGGGUCGAUCUGGUCCAAUGCAUUUAGGUUUGGGCCGGACUCAGUCCGCCCCAUGAUCAGUGGAGAAUGAAUUAAUUAACUCUCCAUUGUUCACUUUGCAGAACAGUGGAGACAGGAAAAUGCAGCAGAAAAAAAAGAAGAAGAAUGAAAAGAAUAAGGGGAAAAGCAAGCUACCCUGCGCGACGACAAUGUCUAGUUGGCGGUUAAAACGGCAGAGGUCGGUGGUAAACUAAGGGAGCUACUUGGCUGAUGGACGACAGGUUCUGGGAAGUUUGAUAUUCCUCUAACGAGUUUUUUUCUCUUUAGAAAUAUAUGUUUUGUGGCCAAACUGGUUUGUCGGUGGAUAAUUGAAAAGCUAAGGUGAGUUACUAUUUGUAAAGCUCAACUUUUUUGUUUUUGUUAAAUCAGGUGCAACCUCAAUUUAUGGUGGGUUCCACCAAAACAAAACCAAGUUUUCACUUAACCAGAUACAUAUUUAUGUGACUCACUCUCAACUUUACACACAGCCGCAUUACCAAACAGCCACUAAAAUAUACAUGGAUUAUCAACUCAGGAC
rnacentral:lncRNA from 1 species